GUGGGGAAUAUUGGGCAAUGGGGGAAACCCUGACCCAGCAACGCCGCGUGAAGGAAGAAGGCUUUCGGGUUGUAAACUUCUUUUAUGAGGGACGAAGAAGUGACGGUACCUCAUGAAUAAGCCACGGCUAACUACGUGCCAGCAGCCGCGGUAAUACGUAGGUGGCAAGCGUUGUCCGGAUUUACUGGGUGUAAAGGGCGCGUAGGCGGGAUAGCAAGUCAGGUGUGAAAUCCGGGGGCUUAACCCUCGAACUGCACUUGAAACUGUUAUUCUGGGUUGAUGGAGAGGAAAGCGGAAUUCCUAGUGUAGCGGUGAAAUGCGUAGAUAUUAGGAGGAACACCAGUGGCGAAGGCGGCUUGCUGGACAUUAACUGACGCUGAGGCGCGAAAGCGUGGGGAGCAAACAGGAUUAGAAACCCGAGUAGUCC
rnacentral:rRNA from 1 species